CAAGAAUCAUCAAAUUGAAGGUCGAUUUCAGUCUUAAAUCAAUGCAUGAACACAAAUUCGUAAUCACCUAAGUGUGGGGAUCGAAAGUUUGUCGCCUAACGAACUAGGUGGAGGCUUGGGAAAGAAGCGGUCAAACGAAUCAAGCACGAGAAGAAAAAGCGUAUUCGGAUGCGAGGUAAGUAUAGCUUACACUAGUCUUAGAUUGUGUAAUAUUCUCUUAGCGUAUAAAUAACGAAUGAGAUAACUAAACAAUUGAAAUACGAUGUUCCGUCGUGUAGGCGUACGGAACUAGAUAAUCAAAGAUGAAAGAAACCAUAAUAAUGGU